rnacentral:rRNA from 1 species
GAUGAACGUUGGCGGUGUGCCUAAUACAUGCAAGUCGAACGGAGUUAGUAGCAAUACUGGCUCAGUGGCGAACGGGUGAGUAACGCGUUGGUGAUCUGCCUUGAAGUGUGGAAUAACGUUUCGAAAGGAACGCUAAUACCGCAUGUGCUCUCGAUUUUCAGAAAGUUGAGAGUAAAGGAUUUAUUCGCUUCAAGAGGAGCCUGCGUCCCAUCAGCUGGUUGGUAGGGUAACGGCCUACCAAGGCUAUGGACGGGUAGGGGACCUGAGAGGGUCGGCCCCCCACAAUGGAACUGAAACACGGUCCAUACACCGUACGGGUGGCAGCAGUAGGGAAUAUUAGAAAUGGACGAAAGUCUGAUCUAGCAACACCGCGUGUGCGAAGAAGGCCUUCGGGUCGUAAAGCACUUUUUGGAAGGAAUAGGAAGGAAUGUACUUCCAGAAUAAGUCUCGGCUAACUACGUG